rnacentral:rRNA from 1 species
UACGUAGGUGGCAAGCGUUAUCCGGAUUUAUUGGGUGUAAAGGGCGUGUAGGCGGGAGCGCAAGUCAGAUGUGAAAACUCGGGGCUCAACCCUGAGCCUGCAUUUGAAACUGUGUUUCUUGAGUGCUGGAGAGGCAAUCGGAAUUCCGUGUGUAGCGGUGAAAUGCGUAGAUAUACGGAGGAACACCAGUGGCGAAGGCGGAUUGCUGGACAGUAACUGACGCUGAGGCGCGAAAGCGUGGGGAGCAAACAGG